CCAUAGCUGAAACAGGAAGAGACGAACUUCAAGUUCUGGACGUUUGCGGUAACAAAUGAGUGUUCAAACAGUGGAUUUAUUCGUGUCGUCGGCCGUAAAUCUGAAAAUGCUACCAUCUUUUCUCGUCACUUCAAGGCGACAGACUACUAAAUAUAGAGGCAAGAGGGAGCUCUUCAACAAAUCUUGAACAAAGAUUAUCAUAUCCCGUGGCUGUUCCUACUACGCUCACCCACAACUCUUGAGCUCUCUUCAGGCGAUCUGCAGAUGGGGGACUUUCAAACAUGAAUUCAUGGCGAAGAAAAAAUGAAGAUGAAAAUUUAAGGCGCAAAUUAGAAAUAAACGCAGCAAAGAAGACAAACAGAUUGGAGUGGUGAGAAAGACCGCCUGGCCCGUGGCAGUGACUGAGCUGAUAUAGCGGUCUGUUCAAUUGUUACCUUUAGUAUUUGUUUAAACACUGAGAAAUAAAAGCGAAUUACUCUUUCCCAGAAGCGAUAAAAGAGCAGGAAAGUACCUUCUCAAAAACUAUUGUUAGCAAUAAUUUAUUGGAAAAGAAAUGGCGAGAGAAACAGAGACAGAGGGAAAGAGAGAGACAUAAAGACACACACACACACAAAGACAAAAUGAGAGAGAGACGCAGAAAUAGAGAGACCGACAGCUACACAGAGAGAGGAGAGAGAGAGAGAGAGAGAGAGAGAGAGAGAGUCAGUCAGAAAGGCAAACAGAGAGAGAGGCAGACAUAGAGAUAUAGAGAGACAGAGACAGGCAGAGAGACUCAGACAGAGACACACACCGAACCAGAAAGGCAAAGAGGGAGAGAGAGAGUAAGACAGAGACAGAAAGACAGACACAUAGAGAGAGAUAGAGAGACAGGCAGGCAGAUAGAAAGGCAAAGAGAGAAAGAGAGAGAGAGAGAGAGAGAGAGAGUCAGACAAAGAUAACCAGACAAUAACAGAGAGACAGACAUACGCAAUAGAGAUAGAAAGACAAAGAGAGAGAGAGAGAGAGAGAGAGCUCUUACCAACAGCAUCCUUUAACGGGCAUUCCAGGAAGGAGAGAGAGAGAGAUAAAGCAAGCCCAGCGCAUGACAUGACGUUACCUUGUUAGCGGGAACCUCCGGGGAUAUAUCUGAUACAAUGCCUCCAGGCAUUUGGUAAGAAGGCCAGAUGGCCACGAAUUGCUCCGUUUCUUCGUAACGACCCAGGAGAGACCAGAGGUGGUGGUGGUCCAGCUCUGCAGGGUUGCACACGCAGAAGUCCUUUCUUCUUCCCUUCUCUCUAAUUGAUAUGUAUAAUAUAUAUAUAUAUGUGUGUGUGUGUGUAUUGUAUAUGCACACGCAGAAGUCCUUUCUUCUUCCCUAUAUAACAAGGAGGAGAAAUUGAAAAGCUUAGUACCGAGUAUACAUAAGUAAACAUACAUAAUUCCAUGUAUGUGGGUUACUCGUAUAUCACCAAGAAUCCUUUUUGGGUCUCAGUGGACUGCGUAAAUGGCCUGUAGCACCUUUCGUGAAAAUGUAAUUAUGCGCAGACUCGUACACAAAGGUGUACGAAGAAAAGGUGAAACGUAAUCGUUGAAACGCGCGUAGUAUUUCCCAAAAGAUCAAGAUGAAUACCCUAUAUAGGCCUAACCUAUGUUUUGUUGAGUUUGCUUGGCGCCAAUUAUUUCGUCCGUUGCGAUGCCAGAUUAUACAAACAACUUUAUCGAGGUUGAUCAAAUAGUCUUAUCUCUUGACGUAAUGGAGGAAAGAAUGAUACAUUAUUCACCCGGUAAUACCCGCGAAUGCAACUGUCCUAUUAAUGAUAAACAUUCUCUCUCUCUCUCUCUCUCUCUCUCUCUCUCUCUCUCUCUCUCUCUCUCUCUCUCUCUCUCUCUCUCUCUCUCUCUCUCUCUCUCCUGUGUGUGUGAAUCUUAAAAGUAUUUCAGAGUUGAUUCAGCCAUUGCUCAUAACAUUUGUAUCCAGUUUUAUCAUUCCAGCCAAAUUAUUCCUAUUGAAAUUCUGCGGUACCUUGAAUAUUUGUAACGAUUAUUUUUUAUCAUAUUUUGCGGUUGAUAACCGAAUAUUUGUCCAGGAAAUGUACAGAUAAAAGUACUACACCCUAAGUUAUAUAGAGAAUGCUGAGAAGCACUAAUGUAUAUGUUGAAUGUAUACAUUACAAUGUCAGUUGUAAUGAAAAAAGACUCUCUCUCUCUCUCUCUCUCUCUCUCUCUCUCUCUCUCUCUCUCUCUCUCUCUCUUCUCUCAUGGAAUCACUGAAACAUGUAUGUGCCUAUACGUGCAAGCUGUAUGUUCGUGUGGACAUAAAUUCCCCGCAGAGUACAAAACCUGAAGUCAAUAACCUCUUGGUAAAUACCUCCAGCCACUGGUGGAAAAUAAGUAAAAUGUAUGGGAAAAUAAAUAAAGGAAAAUCAUUUCACCUUUGUAGGGCAAGCGUAAGGUCUCGGAGGGUUCCAAGUCGACCAAAUAAAUGAUUAUUGUUUCUCUCUCUCUCUCUCUCUCUCUCUCUCUCUCUCUCUCUCUCUCUCUCUCUUUUUUUUUUUUUUUUUUUUUUUUUUUUUUACGUCCCUUCUCCUCCCAAAAGAAAGGAAUUAUGUUUGGAAGGAAGUGUUAUCUCUCCUGCAGCCUCAGGUACGACUAAUGGUUUCUGCUACCGGAGGGAAAGGAACAGGUGAUAGUGGUGGUGGUCGUAGUUGAGGAGAGGCCGAAGCGACGGUGUGUCCAAAAGGGCUUCUUAAUUGCUGGAAGAAGAAGAAGAAAAAAAAGAAGAAGAAGAGAUAGAAGAAAUUCAGAGAAGAAUCAAGAACGGUUGAGGAGACCGAAGCGAUGGUGCCUCCAAAAGGACCUAAUCGUUGGAGGAAGAAGAAGAAGAAGAAAAGGAUAGAUAAGAAGUUUAAAGAACCAUUCAAUAACAACAACAAAAAAUAUUGAAGUUCGUUAAGAGGCAGGUGAUAGAGCAGACAAGAAAAAUCUACUGGAAAAAAUGUGCCCCAUACUAAAAUCAAAUUUCCCCCAUUUCUUAUUUCUGAUGAAGUAAAAAUGUUGUUGGUUUUAUUCUUUUAUUUUCGUGGAAAUUAUAAUCUCGUCUUGAACAUUUUCAUCAGUUUUCCUUACAAGGCAGUUAAAGAAACGUUUUUAGGUAUAUUCAGAGGCAACAAGCAAAUAGCCUUAUGAAUAGAUAGUUAAACGUUGCAUGAAAGUUAUCAGGUGCAUGACGGCACAGUACAACAUUACAAGAUGAUUACGUAAUGAUGAGAGACACAAAGACACAAAUGUAAAUGAGUGUAUAUAGUACAUUAUAUUUAGCCAAGGCCACAUGAA